UGCACCUAACCUUUGGUGGCGUCCCAAGGAACUGGUGUCAGUCCAUGUUCUUCACCAUUCCCAAAGGUCUCGAGCGGUGUUUGCUUUGGCAGGAAGCUCCCAGGGCAGGAGUACGCACUGUUAAACUGCAUUGCAGACUCUGCUGGUAAUACAAAAGGUGGACACAUCAUUGUAGGGUCCAUCUGUAAUAAUUUGCUCUUGCUGGGGAGAAAAAAUGUAACUGGAGCCAUCAAAUAGUGUUGGAGACUAAGCAUUUAGUUUCUGAUGGAUGACUCUGUGGAUGUGAUAAAUGUUAGAAUGGUUGCAGCAAUAAUGAUUCUGUGUUGUCCAGGAGUUGCAUUAAUUUAAUUAGGUUUGUACUGGAGUCUGAGAGGACCUGCCUCUAAACGAUGUCUUAAGCAGCCAACAUACACUGGGAGGUGUACAAAAGAUAGGAGGUGUGUGGCAGGGUCUGUCUUUUUUUACUUCAUAGACAAUAAAUUCUAGAUCAAAGCGAAAACAAGCAAUGAUAUGUGUAAUUUUUUAACAGAAACUCUAUAAAUAUUCAGUGCUGCUGUUUGGCAACAUUAAGAAAUCACUGAAAAAUGCAGUCAUUGCUAAAUGUGUUCAUUUGAGUGGUUUGCUGUUACAAAUGUGAAUCUUCAAAGGCCGUGAAACUUAACAAUAGCUUCCCAGUAUUAGACAGAGAGUUAAUUAUAACAUUUAUCACACAAGCAGGGUAAGUAAAACAAACCCGUAUACCUCUUUAGUUUUCAGCUUGUUGAGUGAAUGCUGUCAGAAGGAAUUUUCCUCAAUGCAUGUGCUUGGUGAUGUUAUCAAAGUGUCUGUCAGGAAAAGCACUUUAAUACUCUUCAGAGGCCUGAGCGAGUGCACUGGGAUUGGUAGAGACAGUGACAGAGGUGACUAGGCUUCUACUGGAUAAGCAUCUGCAUCACCAACAGCGUGUGCUGGGAGUCUCAGCAAAGGCACCAUCCAGAAGUAAUCUCCUCCUUUUUAUAGUACAGCAUGAAUGCAAGACAGAGCACUGAGUGUCUUCCAUCACAUGGUGUAUUGGUGAGAAAAGAAAUGGCCCCAUUUUCAAGAAGGCAAAUGACACCACGUUUUGUUUUUUUCCUCACAUAAUAAAUAAUCUUCCCUGUGUGGUCUGGCCCAGGAGUGGUGACUGUAUAAGCAACAAUUCAAUGUUUUUAGAGAGAUCUAUGGCUUUAUUUAUUUUUAACUAGUAAUGGUGGCUUGAUUGAUUAUGAACAUCGUGUGUAAUGAAUCUUGCCACCACCAGCAUAACUUCUCCAGAGAAAAUGCCUGUGUGGGUUCAGCUGACCAUUAGGCCCUGACUGCUUGGCCUCUCCAAACCCAGGAUGAGAAGGAAAAUCCUAGCAAGGUAUCAGCAAGGACCAUGAUGUUUUCUGUUACCUUUGCCAUGGGUUGCAGCACGUUUUUACACGAUGCUCGUAAGGGGGAGUUCCCUGAUGUGGGAUAACAGCGGCAUGCACUGAUGAAGUGACAACCUCUUGGUAUCCUUGUAAAAUUCCACCCAGUUAAAGGGAACUGGAGAGGAGAUAUAUGGCUAUUAAAGUAAAACAUAACUGCCUGUCAGGGAAAAGUAGUGACAACAUGCACCAAAAGCUCUGCCAUCUAAUGCCUGUCAGCAAGAGCGGCUAGUCUUUAACAUUGUUCAUGUUCCUCAACGAAUGUGCUUGAAUUGGCAGAGACAAGGAUGGAGUUGACACGGGCAGGUUCUGUCAGCUCAAAUCCAGAGGUGAACUGUGUGUAUCUGAAACCCGGUCCUGACAGCUGCAUCCAGGAGCAGGCAUGUUUAGGAAGCGGGGAGCUGUGGGAGGGCAGGGGAGGGACCAGUCUGAGCUUCACCAUCUCCCAUAGAGGCAAUGUCCGCUUUGAGCAGAAAAAGCAAGGGGGCAGGGAGAGAGAGGGAACAACAAAAAACAGUGCCUAUUAUGUUUCAUGUCAAUGUUGCUGUCAUUAGGUAGUCGAGAAGAUUUCAAACAGAUAAACUCCCCUUUGGUAUGGCAGACCGCCUUGGCAGCCAAUUUUAGGCCUUGAUUUGAUUGAUAAACUCUUUGUGACAAGGAAGGAUAAAAGAGGCCCCUAGUUUGGUACAUAUAAAUAGGAAAUUAGCUGGCAAAGUUGUCAAAGAUAAUUAACUCUCUUAUUCUGUGUGUCUAUUCAGGUUGACAUACUGAAAUUAUUUAGAAAUGCACAUGUCAACGCUCUGACAGAAUUUGGUGCUGAUCAGAUAAACAGUUUUUGAGAUGCCUGAUUGUAAAAUGAUGUAAGAGCUUAGCUGGUGGUUUUAUCAUUAUGCAUUCUCUUAGCAGCAGCAGGUAUCAAAUGGCAACACCAUCCUUUAAUGUGCUAGAUUCAGAGAUCAGGAGACAAAGUUAAGCACGCUACUUCACAGCACUCAGCUCUCCUGUUUUGUUCCUUGCCCCCUGGGUUAAAAAAAUACUAAUAAUGUGCUAAAUUUCUGGGAGUUCAUGGGCUCCUCAUCCUUUCCCCAGGUACAAUUGGAAGUAAAAAGAUAAGGGUCUAUGGGAUAAGAGGUCUGAAAGCCAUGGCAUUUUGUUACUUCUUCAGAAGAGAUAAACUACUCACUGCUAUAAUCCCUGUCUCAAAGACUGGCAAGGUUAGGAAAAUGCAACAGGAAAAAAAACAGUGCCUCUGAACAACGUCUUUAUAGUGGCUCCUAUUAAAGCAAUGACAGAGAACGACAAAUA